rnacentral:rRNA from 1 species
GAUGAACGCUAGCUACAGGCUUAACACAUGCAAGUCGAGGGGCAGCAUGAAAGGAACUUCGGUUCUUUUUGAUGGCGACCGGCGCACGGGUGCGUAACGCGUAUCGAACCUGCCUCAUACUCGGGGAUAGCCUUGCGAAAGUAAGAUUAAUACCGCAUGAAGCAGGGGCCCCGCAUGGGGAUAUUUGCUAAAGAUUCAUCGCUGAUAGAUAGGCAUGCGUUCCAUUAGGCAGUUGGCGGGGUAACGGCCCACCAAACCGACGAUGGAUAGGGGUUCUGAGAGGAAGGUCCCCCACAUUGGUACUGAGACACGGACCAA